CCUACGGGGGGCUGCAGUGGGGAAUCUUGCGCAAUGGGCGAAAGCCUGACGCAGCGACGCCGCGUGAGUGAUGAAGGCCUUCGGGUUGUAAAGCUCUGUGGGGAGGAAAGAAUAAGUGCAGGCUAAUCACUGCAUGAUGACGGUACCUCCUUAGCAAGCACCGGCUAACUCUGUGCCAGCAGCCGCGGUAAGACAGAGGGUGCAAACGUUGUUCGGAAUUACUGGGCGUAAAGCGUGUGUAGGCGGUGAGGUAAGUCGGAUGUGAAAGCCCAGGG
rnacentral:rRNA from 1 species